AACGCGAAGAACCUUACCCAGGCUUGACAUGCAGAGGACAGUCUCAGAGAUGAGAUCUCCCUUCGGGGCCUUUGCACAGGUGCUGCAUGGCUGUCGUCAGCUCGUGCCGUGAGGUGUUUGGUUAAGUCCAGCAACGAGCGCAACCCUUGUCAUUAGUUGCCAACACGUAAAGGUGGGAACUCUAAUGAGACUGCCUAGGUUAACUAGGAGGAAGGUGAGGAUGACGUCAAGUCCGCAUGGCCCUUAUGUCUGGGGCAACACACGUGCUACAAUGGUCGGUACAGUGGGCAGCCAAACCGCGAGGUGGAGCAAAUCCCCCAAAGCCGGCCUCAGUUCAGAUUGUAGUCUGCAACUCGACUACAUGAAGUCGGAAUUGCUAGUAAUGGCGCGUCAGCUACAGCGCCGUGAAUACGUUCCCGGGCCUUGUACACACCGGCUAC
rnacentral:rRNA from 1 species